rnacentral:rRNA from 1 species
UUGCCAGCCCGCUCAGAAACUCAAAUGAAGUUGACGGGGGCCCGCACAAGCGGUGGAGUAUGUGGUUAAUUCGAUGCAACGCGAAGAACCUUACCUGGUCUUGACAUCCCGGAGACCCUUAGGAAACUAGGGGGUGCUUCCAUCUGGAAGAAUCUGGAGACAGGUGCUGCAUGGCUGUCGUCAGCUCGUGUCGUGAGAUGUUGGGUUAAGUCCCGCAACGAGCGCAACCCUUGCCUUUAGUUGCCAGCAGUUCGGCUGGGCACUCUAAAGGGACUGCCGGUGUUAAACCGGAGGAAGGUGGGGAUGACGUCAAGUCCUCAUGGCCUUUAUGACCAGGGCUACACACGUACUACAAUGGCCGAUACAAAGGGCAGCGACACUGCGAGGUGAAGCCAAUCCCGUAAAAUCGGUCUCAGUCCGGAUUGGAGUCUGCAACUCGACUCCAUGAAGUUGGAAUCGCUAGUAAUCGUGGAUCAGCAUGCCACGGUGAAUACGUUCCCGGGCCUU